rnacentral:rRNA from 1 species
GGGCUUGACAUCCCACGAACCUGGGAGAAACCCCGGGGUGCCCUUCGGGGAGCCUGGAGACAGGUGGUGCAUGGCUGUCGUCAGCUCGUGUCGUGAGAUGUUGGAUUAAGUUCCGCAACGAGCGCAACCCUCACCCCUUGUUGCCAUCAGGUCAUGCUGGGCACUCUAGGGGAACUGCCCCGGUCAACGGGGAGGAAGGCGGGGAUGACGUCAAGUCAUCAUGCCCCUUACGCCCUGGGCUACACACGUGCUACAAUGGCCGGUACAAAGGGAUGCAACGCCGCGAGGCAGAGCCAAACCCAAAAAGCCGGUCUAAGUUCAGAUUGGAGUCUGCAACUCGACUCCAUGAAGGAGGAAUCGCUAGUAAUCGCGUAUCAGAACGACGCGGUGAAUACGUUCCCGGGCCUUGUACACACCGCCCGUCACACCACGAAAGCCAGCUGUACUCGAAGUCGCUGAG